rnacentral:rRNA from 1 species
UAUUAUACAUARUAAUUGAUUAUUAUCUGGGUAGUAAUAGUUAAGUUCUUGAAACCCAAAGAAUUUGGCGGUGUCUUAGUCUUUUCAGGGGAAUCUGUUCCGUAAUUGAUGAUACACGAUUUGUUGUACUUGAUUUUGUUAUCAGCUUGUAUAUCGCCGUCGUAGGAUUAUUUUUUUUUGAGAAUUAUUAAUUUUCUUUAAAUUUUAUUAAAUUUUAUGUCAGGUCAAGGUGCAGUUUAUAAUUAAGUGGAAAUGGAUUACAAUAAUUUAAAUUAUAUGGAUAAUUAUUUAAAUUUAAUUUGAAGGUGGAUUUGAUUGUAAAUUUAUUUUAAUUUUUAUUUUGAUUUUGGCUCUAAGAUGUGUACAUAUCGCCCGUCCCUCUCGUUUUU